rnacentral:rRNA from 1 species
CGCAUAUGAGAGUUUGAUCCUGGCUCAGGAUGAACGCUAGCGACAGGCUUAACACAUGUUAAGGAUUUGAAAGUACCAAUUGGUACACUAGGAGAUGGACCCGCGUUGUAUUAGCUAGUUGGUAGUGUAAUGGACUACCAAGGCGAUGAUACAUAGCCGACCUGAGAGGGUGAUCGGCCACAUUGGGACUGAGACACGGCCCAAACUCCUACGGAAGGCAGCAG